rnacentral:RNase_P_RNA from 1 species
UGAGUCGGCUGGGUGGCCGCGGCAUCGAGGUCUUGGCCUCGGUGUCGAGGAAGGUCGGGACUCCGCAGGGCAACGGUGCUGGCUAACGGCCAGUCGGGGCGACUCGAAGGAAAGUGCCACAGAAAACAGACCGCCGAUGGCCCGGAUUUCCGGGUACAGGCAAGGGUGAAACGGUGCGGUAAGAGCGCACCAGGGGCCGGGGUGACUCGGCUCGCUCGGCAAACCCCACCGGGAGCAAGGCCAAGCAGGGGACAUGGUGGCCCGCCGCCCCAUCAGGGGCAGUCCCCGGGUAGGCCGCUUAGAUGGAUGGCCAUCCACGGUCCGCCAGGACCCGGACAGAAUCCCGCCUACAGGCCGACUCACCGU